UACGGAGGGAGCUAGCGUUGUUCGGAAUUACUGGGCGUAAAGCGCACGUAGGCGGCUUUGUAAGUUAGAGGUGAAAGCCCGGGGCUCAACCCCGGAAUUGCCUUUAAGACUGCAUCGCUUGAAUCCAGGAGAGGUGAGUGGAAUCCGAGUGUAGAGGUGAAAUUCGUAGAUAUUCGGAAGAACACCAGUGGCGAAGGCGGCUCACUGGACUGGUAUUGACGCUGAGGUGCGAAAGCGUUGGGGGAGCAAACAGG
rnacentral:rRNA from 1 species